rnacentral:lncRNA from 1 species
UCUCCAGUCACUCAUUUCCCUGCAAGGUCAACAUCCCAUAUCGGGUCUGAAGUUCUUGAACAUGUGGUCGUGUUUUAGCUGCCACAACAGCAUAAUGUGUUUGGGAAGGAUAGUAGAUCCAGAGUCUCAAAGGAACUGACUGAUGCACAGACUAAAAAAACCAGUAACAUUUAUUAUAGCUCGUACACAAUCAUACUAUGCACUGUUCUUUAUUGUCAGAACACCCCAAAGACACAUCAAAAUUCUCUAUGUCAUUGCUUUCUUGGACUAUGGCCACAGCAUCAAGUAGGUUUAUUCUUGAAGGGAAAAUGGAAAAUUAGUAACAUCGGGUUGAAGCCUUCCGCAGCAACAGUGACCAUUUCCAGAAUACAUGUUGUAUGAGGAAUCAAAUUAAAAGCCUCUGUGUAAAUAUUCAAGCUGCAUAAUCUUUUGACCACUGCAUUGAAAAAGCACGUAUAUGAGUGAGUGACUUGGGAUCAUGAGUCCCCGUUAACGUUUCUCAGAACCACCCAAACCACAGUGAACAUGAAGUCAGAUCAAUGCUGCGAGCAGAAGCCCACAUGUUGACAUCUGUGGGGAAUAGGCAAGGAACAACCAGAACUGCUGAAAUACAGACAUGCAUUUUCCAUCCUGACAUCUUUGCAAUGGAGGCAAAAGCUUCUCGGAGAGUGGUGGAGCAGUCAGUUAGAAGCCAUAACCUCGUCAGCUGCUGGUGUUCAUUAGGGGUUAUCUGUCAGACUCCUAAAGCCAUAGACUGAUAUUUGAACCACCUCAGAGGGUUACCUCUUCUGUGAGAUACUGAUCAAAUCCAGGUGACAUUGCACUGUUCAUGGGACCCCUUUGAUAGGUUUAGCAGGGAGUCAGUAACUCGCAGUAGAAAUUGUAAACUCUUAAACUCGCAUGGAGAUUUCUGUCGUCAAUAUACCCCAGGUUACCUUCACUUUGCUUUUAACAAAUGUUAAAAAUGGACGAUUGGUUUAAAAUAUACCAAGAAAAGAAAGAAAUGGGGAGAGAGGAGGCUGUUGAACCACCCAGUCAAUUUCCUGCCAGUGGAGACAUACUUCUGG